rnacentral:lncRNA from 1 species
CCUGCCUCUUGCCCCAGGCGCCAUUUUCAUCGCCAUAAGGGUGAUGUCCCCCCCAUGACACGUUUACCAAAUUAAACCCGCUAUAAGAGCGGGUUCAAAGGCGGAUUUCAAAGACUGAGUUGAAGACUGAGUCCUAAGGCUGAGUUUGGAGACCGAGUUCAAAGGCUGAGUUUAAGGCCGGAACUCCAGAUCAGAUGCUCAGGUCAUGAUUGCUCAAGACUAACACAUCACGACCUACUCUCAACGAAGAAGAAAGAAGAAUAAAGACAGAAAUCUUCAGAGAGUGUCAGAGUGAUUGCUAUGAAAGAUAUGUAUAAGAAGUUAUUUUUGUAUGUGUCGAGUUAUUAUGUGGUUUAAUAUACAGUUUAAGGCAUGA